rnacentral:rRNA from 1 species
AUUGAACGCUGGCGGCAUGCCUUACACAUGCAAGUCGAACGGUAACAGGUCUUCGGAUGCUGACGAGUGGCGAACGGGUGAGUAAUACAUCGGAACGUGCCUAGUAGUGGGGGAUAACUACUCGAAAGAGUGGCUAAUACCGCAUGAGAUCUACGGAUGAAAGCAGGGGAUCGCAAGACCUCGUGCUACUAGAGCGGCCGAUGGCAGAUGAGGUAGUUGGUGGGAUAAAAGCUUACCAAGCCGACGAUCUGUAGCUGGUCUGAGAGGACGAUCAGCCACAAUGGGACUGAGAUACGGCCCAGACGCCUACGGGAGGCAGCAGUGGGGAAUUUUGGACAAUGGGCGCAAGCCUGAUCCAGCAAUGCCGCGUGCAGGAUGAAGGCCUUCGGGUUGUAAACUGCUUUUGUACGGAACGAAAAGCCCUGGGUUAAUACCCUGGGGUCAUGACGGUACCGUAAGAAUAAGCACCGGCUAACUACGUGCCAGCAGCCGCCGUAAAAC